CCCACCCCCAGCCACAAAGGGAAGGAAAAACAACACAUAAAAACAGCCACCACAGAGCACAGACUUUUCACUACGCGUAGCAAAAUCUAUGCUUAUGCUACUGCUUAGCCACCUACUGCCAUUCAUCAAAAAGACAAUUUGAUCACAACGGGUUUAUUUGCGUCGCCACAAUGGGACUCCUAACCAAAUGCUUCCCAUCCGACCAUGUAAUUGACCCGAACGCGGCACCCGAAUCAUCUAGGAUCAGAUUUCGGGUAUUUGCUGUUAUUGUCACAAUAAAGCUUUGCUUCUUCAUUCCCUGAUUGAACACCAAUCUCGCUGGUUUCA
rnacentral:misc_RNA from 1 species